AUUGAACGCUGGCGGCAUGCCUAACACAUGCAAGUCGAACGGAUGGCUUCGGCCAUUAGUGGCGCACGGGUGAGUAACGCGUGGGAAUCUGCCCAGCAGUGGGGGAUAACCUCUGGAAACGGGGGCUAAUACCGCAUACGCCCCUCGGGGGAAAGGCUUGCUGCUGCUGGAGGAGCCCGCGUCGGAUUAGGUAGUUGGUGGGGUAACGGCCUACCAAGCCUGUGAUCCGUAGCUGGUCUGAGAGGAUGAUCAGCCACACUGGGACUGAGACACGGCCCAGACUCCUACGGGAGGCAGCAGUGGGGAAUAUUGGACAAUGGGCGCAAGCCUGAUCCAGCAAUGCCGCGUGAGUGAUGAAGGCCUUCGGGUUGUAAAGCUCUUUCGCCCACGACGAUGAUGACGGUAGUGGGAGAAGAAGCCCCGGCUAACUUCGUGCCAGCCGCCGCGGUAAAAC
rnacentral:rRNA from 1 species